CUCUAUGGUCAUAUCACCCUGAAUGCGUCUGAUGUCAUCUGAUCUCAGAAGUUAAGCAGGAUCAGGCCUGGUUAGUACUUAGAGGGAAGUUAUGAUAAUCUUAAAAGGACAAUAGCAGGUGUUGAUGAGG
ensembl:rRNA 5S_rRNA 5S ribosomal RNA